CUAUACUGUCUUAUCCCUUUCCUCUAGUGAAGCUCGGCCACUGUUUCUUCCUCUAGUGAAGCUUGGCCACCGUUUCCCCAAAUCCACAAGACUGCUCCACCCCGGCCGAGCCAGCUGCAAGGGAUGGCCGGAGGGCUGCUGCGAGAGCUGACUGGAGACGGCGCAGCUUCACCGCCACACGUAUCCCGCUGCUAGCAGCAGGGAGACGGCGAAGUACACAAGCAGCAGAGCAACGACGAGAUCUACGAGCCUGACGACAACGGCAAGCUGGAGCCUCCUCCCAACGAGCUCGAGAAGGAAUACGACGCCGGCGAUGUCCCGGAGCAGCACGGCCGACCUGGACGAGGAUGAGGGUAGCAACCAGACGAGGGGCAUGCCUGGGCCGCCGUGCUAUCUUACGGCUGCACGGGGCCUCUGACAGCAGGGUCGCGAUAGCUGGACCUCGGCGCCCUCCUGCCUGGCCAAGCCCCAGUAGCAAAACCAAAGAUACUGUCCAACCAAGUUUGAAUUUUCCACAUUGCUUCUUAUGGCAUUGAAAGCUUCUUCAAAGGCUUCCUCUUCCUCAUACUUGUACAUGCAAGCACUGAAAUCAGCAAGUACAUUUGGUCCUUCCUCGUCUUUUUUCUUAUGAGGUACAAUUCCUGAAUCAUCCGCUGUUUCAAUUUCAAAUGCUUGCAAGGCCGAAAUUUUCCUCUGUGAUGGCAUCAAGUGGCUUGCCCCAGAAGGAAGACAAAAUGGAGAUAAUCUGCAUCGCCUACAGAUCAGCUUGCCUUGGUUUCACUCUGAACAUGGGGGACGAUCAGAAGAGAGAUAAGGCAAAAGGGAGUUUUUUUUUGAAGGGAGGCAAAAGGGAGUUUAUCUCGCCACCUAAAGACCACAGAUGAACGUACCUCCGCCGUGUGUCGUGGUUCUAAGUCUGACAGUAGAGUGGGGGGGUAGGUAUUGAGAGGCAAGGUCUUAGCUAUGAAGAGGUUGUAAACACAAGAGAUGUACGAGUUCAGGCCCUUCUCGGAGGAA